rnacentral:rRNA from 1 species
UACGGGGGGGGGUAAGCGUUGUUCGGAAUUACUGGGCGUAAAGGGCUCGUAGGCGGCCAACUAAGUCAUACGUGAAAUCCCUCAGCUUAACUGGGGAACUGCGUGUGAUACUGGAUGGCUUGGAUUUGGGAGAGGGAUGCGGAAUUCCAGGUGUAGCGGUGAAAUGCGUAGAUAUCUGGAGGAACACCGGUGGCGAAGGCGGGUAGCUGGGCCGACACUGACGCUGAUGCGCGAAAGCCAGGGGAGCGAACGGG